GUCCUGCAAACAUGGGUUUAAGUCCUGUUUCUAUCA
rnacentral:tRNA from 1 species